rnacentral:lncRNA from 1 species
UUACAUCUUCCGGUCAUCUUAGAAAUUCUUUCUUGUUAUUUUGUUAUCUCAUAUUUGCAUCAGGAAGAGCCUGUUGAAUCUUGGGGGAUUUGCACAUAUAAGGCGGAUAAAUCUUGAAUGAUAGUGUUCUUACACGCCUCAAGUUGUUUAACCGUUUGUUAUUUUGCAUGUCCAUUGAUUAUUAUUAUAAUUAAAGGUGAUUGAAUUGCAUUGAGAUUCCAAUUUCUACAACAUAUAUGACUUAUAUGUUAGUACUCAAUGGUUGAGUGAAGAAU